UUAAUAUACAUUAAUACAAAUGUGGAAUGUGUUUAGAAAUUUUAAAAUAAUACUAAAGAUCAUAUGCUUUAGUAUAAAGAGCAUUUACCAAAAAAUUCAAUACUUUCAUAGGGGUUAACACAUAGAUUUUGAGAAAAAUUCAAAAAUAUGAAAGUAUUGUUUUAAUGCAUGGUUGCAUCAUGCACUAACAUAUGAUGAAGGUCAAAGAGGUUUAAAACCUUUGUUAUCUCCGUUUAUCUAGAGAAUACCGAUUUUAUAGUGGUUAGUCCACCAAUUGAGAAAGUAUUAAGAACUUUUACUAAAUUAAUUGAUAAAAAAUUAAAACAAUGUCAAUGUACCAUGAAAGAGAGUUUAAUAUACAAUAAUACAAAUGUAGAUUGUGUUUUAAAAUUUCCCAAAACCAACACUAAAGAUCAUACACUUCAGUAUAUAGAGCAUUUCCCAAAAAAUUCAAUACUUUUAUAGGGGUUAACAAAUAGAUUUUGAGAAAAAUUCAAAAAUAUGAAAAUACAGUUUUAAUGCAUGGUUGCAUAAUGCACUAACAUAUGAUGAAGGUCAACUUGGUUUGGUACCUUUGUUGUCUCUGUUUCUUUAGAUAAAAGCGAGUUUAUAGUGGAUCAUCCACCAAUUUAGGGAGUUUUAUGAAGUUAUACUAAAUUAAUUUCUAAAAAAUUAAAAAAAUUCCCAUGUACCAAGAAAGAGUUUAAUAUAAAUUAAUACAAAUGUAGAAUGUGUUUAGAAAUUUUAAAACAACACUACAACAUUUACCAAAAAACUCAAUAUUUUCGUAGGGGUUAACACGUAGCUUUUGAGAAAAAUUCAAAAAUUUGAGAAGACUGUUUUAAUUCAUGGUUGCAUCAUUCACAAACAUAUAAUGAAGGUUAAAGAGGUUUAAUACCCUUGUUGUCUUCAUUUCUCUAGAGAGUAACGAUUUUAUAAAGGUUAGUCCACCAAUUUAUGUAGUAUUAUGAACUUUUACUAAAUUAAUUGAUAAAAAACUUAAAAUGAUGUCCAUAUACCUUGAAAGAUAGUUUAAUAUACAUUAAUAUAAAUGUAGAUUGUGUUUAGAAAUUUUAAAAUAACACCAGCGCAUUUACCAAAAAACUCAAUAUUUUCGUAGGGCUUAACACAUAUAUUUUGAGAAAAAUUCAAAAAUUUGAGAAUAUUAUUUUAAUGUAUAGUUGCAUCCUGCACUAAAAUAUAAUGAACGUCAAAGAGGUUUGGAACCUUUGUUGACUCCGUUUCUCUAGAGAAUAACAAUUUAUAAUGGUUCAUCCACCAAUUUUGGGAGUUUUAUGAAGUUUACUAAAUUAAU